rnacentral:rRNA from 1 species
GUGAGUAAUAUAUAGGAAUCUACUUAAUAGUAUGGAAUAAUUGUUAGAAAUGACAGCUAAUACCAUAUACUCCUUACGAGGGAAAGAUUUAUCGCUAUUAGAUGAGCCUAUAUUGGGUUAGCUAGUUGGUAAGGUAAUGGCUUACCAAGGCAGUGAUCUAUAGCUGGUUUGAGAGGAUGAUCAGCCACACUGGAAUUGAGAUACGGUCCAGACUCCUACGGGAGGCAGCAGUGGGGAAUAUUGGGCAAUGGGCGAAAGCUUGACCCAGCUAUGCCGCGUGAGUGAUUAAGGUCUUCGGAUUGUAAAGCUCUUUUAGUAGGGAAGAUAAUGACGGUACCUACAGAAAAAGUCCUGGCUAACUCCGUGCCAGCAGCCGCGGUAAUACGGAGAGGGCUAACGUUGUUCGGAAUUACUGGGCGUAAAGGGUACGCAGGCGGUUUAGUAAGUUAGAGGUGAAAUCCUGGAGGCUUAACCUCAGAAUUGCUUUUAAAACUGCUAUACUAGAGGUCGAAAGAGGAUAGUGGAAUUCCUAAUAUAGAGGUAAAAUUCAUAGACAUUAGGAGGAACACCAGUGGCGAAGGCGGCUAUCUGGUUCGAUUCUGACGCUGAUGUACGAAAGCGUGGGGAGCAAACAGGAUUAGAUACCCUGGUAGUCCACGCUGUAAAUGGUGAAUGCUAAAUGUAGGAAUUUUUAUUUCUGUGUUGUAGCUAACGCGUUAAGCAUUCCGCCUGGGGACUACGAUCGCAAGAUUAAAACUCAAAGGAAUUGACGGGGACCCGCACAAGCGGUGGAGCAUGUGGUUUAAUUCGAUGCUACGCGAAAAACCUUACCACUCCUUGACAUGGAGGCUAUCUCCUUCUUAACAGAAGGAUUCAGUUCGGCUGGGCCUCACACAGGUGUUGCAUGGCUGUCGUCAGCUCGUGUCGUGAGAUGUUGGGUUCAGUCCCAUAACGAGCGCAACCCUUAUCCUUUAUUACCAGCAGGUCAGGCUGGGUACUUUAAGGAAACUGCCAAUGAUAAAUUGGAGGAAGGAGAGGACGACGUCAAGUCAUCAUGGCCCUUAUGGGGUGGGCUACACACGUGCUACAAUGGCGAUUACAAUGGGCUGCAAAACUGCAAAGUUGAGCUAAUCCUUAAAAAUCGUCUCAGUUCGGAUUGCUCUCUGUAACUCGAGAGCAUGAAGUUGGAAUCGCUAGUAAUCGUGGAUCAGCACGCCACGGUGAAUACGUUCUCGGGUCUUGUACACACUGCCCGUCAAGCCAUGGAAGUUGGNUUUUACUCGAAGCUAGUGUGCUAACCUUUUUAGGAAGCAGCUAUCUAAGGUAGGGCUGAUGACUGGGG